ACCGUAUUCGGCACGUAAGACCUUACAGGUAUUGAAUCCUCUGAAAYCCUAGAGAUAGGGCUUCUCCUUCGGACAGAGUGACAGGUGGUGAUGGUUGUCGUCAGCUCGUGUCGUGAGAUGUUGGGUUAAGUCCCGCAACGAGCGCAACCCUUGAUCUUAGUUGCCAUCAUUCAGUUGGGCACUCUAAGGUGACUGCCGGUGACAAACCGGAGGAAAGGUGGGGAUGACGUCAAAUCAUCAUGCCCCUUAUGACCUGGGCUACACACGUGCUACAAUGGACGGUACAAAGAGCUGCAAGACCGCGAGUUGGGMUAAUCUCAUAAAACCGUUCUCAGUUCGGAUUGUAGGCUGCAACUCGCCUACAUGAAGCUGGAAUCGCUAGUAAUCGCGGAUCAGCAUGCCGCGGGAAUACGAUCCCGGGCCUUGUACACACCGCCCGUCCCACCAGGAGAGUUUGUAAACCCGAGUCGGGGGGGUAACAUUUUGGGCAGCCCUAAGGUGGACCGAUUUUUGGGAAAGCAAACAAGGUAGCC
rnacentral:rRNA from 1 species